GAUGAAGAACGUAGCGAAAUGCGAUAAGUAAUGCGAAUUGCAGAAUUUCCGUGAGUCAUCGAAUCUUUGAACGCACAUUGCGCCCACUGGUAUUCCGGUGGGCAUGCCUGUUCGAGCGUCAUUAUCCUCCCUCAAACCCCGGGUUUGGUGUUGGACGGUUUUGGUGGGGACGUGCAGCCUCUCACCCCUCCUAAAGACAAUGACGGCGGCGUCGUUGGGACCCCCGGUACACUGAGCUUCUUAACUGAGCACGUACUGGACGCGGGUACGCGACGCACGGUCUGCCUCCCCUUUAAGGGAGAACUUUUUCUUAAGGUUGACCUCGGAUCAGGUAGGAAUACCCGCUGAACUUAAGCAUAUCAAUAAGCGGAGGA
rnacentral:misc_RNA from 1 species